GACGAACGCUGGCGGCGUGCCUAAUACAUGCAAGUAGAACGCUGAAGGAGGAGCUUGCUUCUCUGGAUGAGUUGCGAACGGGUGAGUAACGCGUAGGUAACCUGCCUGGUAGCGGGGGAUAACUAUUGGAAACGAUAGCUAAUACCGCAUAAUAGCAGUUAUUGCAUGAUAACUGUUUGAAAGGUGCAAUUGCAUCACUACCAGAUGGACCUGCGUUGUAUUAGCUAGUUGGUGGGGUAACGGCUCACCAAGGCGACGAUACAUAGCCGACCUGAGAGGGUGAUCGGCCACACUGGGACUGAGACACGGCCCAGACUCCUACGGGAGGCAGCAGUAGGGAAUCUUCGGCAAUGGACGGAAGUCUGACCGAGCAACGCCGCGUGAGUGAAGAAGGUUUUCGGAUCGUAAAGCUCUGAUGUAAGAGAAGAACGAGUGUGAGAGUGGAAAGUUCACACUG
rnacentral:rRNA from 1 species